rnacentral:tRNA from 1 species
GCAGGUGUGAUGUACGGGCAACAUGAGGCUUUCGUACAGCCUUCAUGCAGGUUCAACUCCUGUCACCUGCUCCA